UAGUCCGUGGCCGUGAUGUGUAUGGGUGAGAGAAAGCUCUUUAACGAAAAACAGAGGAUUCUGCCGGCAUAUAUCAAGACGCCUACGUGCUACACUGUAUAGGGGAGGGGAUUGAGGACAGAAAGGGCCUAGGAGGAGUGGAGCAGGAAAGGAGAAUGAAAAAAUAGAAGAUAACAUGAUCGUGAUCCAGCGGUGUUUGCAACAAAGCGGCGCGAUAGAGGCUCCUCUGUGCAUAUGGUCACUUUUUUCAGGAGCUGUGAGCAUUAGCAGAAAGAUAUGAAGCAUCUUUUAUCUCAUAUUCUCUUAUUUUAUAUAUUUGUAUCUUCCAUCACCAGCAUGACAACCACCAACCCCAUGAUGCCUGCAAUCAGCGAAGAGACACUUUACCUUGUGGCAUACUCAAAAUCACUUCGGAAAGGCGACGUGACGUGCGUGAUAUCAACAUACAGAGGCUCUAGUGCUGGAUGGGUGACGAGAAGUCUGGUCUAC